GGCUUCUUCCACAGAAGCAGCAUAGCCGCGGAUGCGCUGAAGAGAAACCAGAAAAUGCUGCUUCCACAACACAAGCUCAUUACUGAUGUUGUUGUCCACUGGAACAGCGCCUACGAGAUGCUCUCCAGGUUUCUCGAGCAGCAGCCUGCUAUCUGCGCUACCCUCUUGUCUCCUGAGGUGAGGAAGAAUGUGACUGACUGCAGCCUGACUGAGACAGACGUGUCAAAUUGUCCAAGUUCUCAAGGCAGUGAUGGUGGCCACACACAUUAUGUGCGAGGAGAAGAGCGCAACAAUUUCUGUUAUUGCUCUCCUUCAUGCCCAACUUUUGAACGAGACAAUCUGCACCACUGAGGAUUCCCCUCUCGUCAAAGAGAUACAAAGCACCAUCAAUCAAGACCUGUCAAAAAGAUAUGACUCUACUCACGAGAAAGACUGCCUAUACAUCUCAUCAGCCAUGGACCCCAGGUUCAAAUCACUGCUCUUCCUGUCGCCAGCAGAUGUGCAGGAGACGAAUGCCAAAGUGGUGUCAAAGGCUGCUGCUUUAAAAGGAGGAUGCCAAUUUGGAAGUGGAGAAUGCUAAAGGGAGAACUGCUGAUGAGGAAGGAAAUGAUGAGCAGAGGGCUGCUGAAUUGCCUGGCACCAGUGAGAAUGGGAAUCAUCUUUCCAGUGCCGACACACCCAAGAAGAGGAAAUCUGCAAUUGGACAGAUGUUUAAGACCAGAUCCCCCUUGGUGUCAGUGUCAGCUACUUCCAUAGCUGAAAAGGAGGCCAGACAAUACCAAGAAGCUUCACCGCUACCACUGACAGAUGAUCCACUCGUAUGGUGAAAAUCUCUGGCACCAUGCUACCCACCACUUGCAAAGCUGGCACAAAGAUACCUGUGUUUCCUAGGGACCAGUGUAUCUG